rnacentral:rRNA from 1 species
CCUACGGGAGGCUGCAGUGGGGAAUAUUGGGCAAUGGAGGAAACUCUGACCCAGCAAUGCCGCGUGAAUGAAGAAGGUCUUCGGAUUGUAAAGUUCUUUAGUCAGGGAAGAAGUCAUUGACGGUACCUGAAGAAUAAGCUCCGGCUAACUCCGUGCCAGCAGCCGCGGGAAUACGUAGGGAGCAAGCGUUGUUCGGAAUGACUGGGCGGAAAGGGUGCGUAGGCGGUUGUAAAAGUUAGAAGUGAAAUACCCAGGGCUUAACUCGGGUGCUGCUUCGAAAACUGUAUGACUUGAGUGCAGUAGAGGUAAGUGGAAUUCCAAGUGUAGCGGUGGAAUGCGUAGAUAUUAGGAGGAACACCAGAGGCGAAGGCAGCUAACUGGACUGCAACUGACGCUGAGGCACGAAAGUGUGGGGAGCAAACAGGAUUAGAUACCCGGGUAGUC